CUUGCUGAACUAUAAAACCAUAAAUAAAACCACAAGACAUGCCUGCGGUCAGUAAGUGAAAGAUAAAAUGAGGCCGGCAUCCAAGUUCAGCAGGAUAAUGAUCCCUGGAGCCAAGAACAGGAAUUUAAGGAAAAUAUGACAUUCCAAAGUAGGAGACCCUCAUUAUAUGGAAACCUGAGGUGAUUCAACUAUUUCAGCACAUGUUACCACCCUUCUGCUGACUUGAAUAAGCACCAUGACAGUCCUAGUUGGACCUCAUAGGGUCAAAUACUCUCUUAGCCAGCAUGACGGAGGAGCUAGUGAUGUAAGACUGACGUCUACUUGAAGGAUGAGGGAGGGGGACGUUUCUCCCUCCCCGUUUUCCUUGGAUUAUAAAAACAUAGCCCACUUAAUCCUCAGGGCAGAGCCUUCUCGCUCGCUCACUUGUAUCCCUCACUCGUGUCCUGUCUUAAUAAAUCUUGCCUGUAACUUUGUCUCUCACUGAAUUCCUUUUGCACUGAGACACAAAGAACUGAACCUUAAUAAAUCCAGAUACCAAGUGAGUGAUUCCAACUUAAAAACGCAGGUUCAAGUCCCAAUCUGACUUUUGGCUGGGGUUGAGGCCCAGCACAUAGGUUCAAGUCACAAUCUGGAUUCUGGCUAGGUUCAAGUCAGAGUUGUUUUCGGUUUCAGUAUGACUUGGUUUUUACAGCAGAGGAUCACACUGCCACUGAUUUGCUCUGUGAACCUGAGCCGGUUACCUAACCUCUCAGAGUUUCAGCAUCCUCUUGGAAAAAAAAGACAGUGUUACUUUCCUUGAAGGAAUUGCUAAGAGGAUUUGGAAUCAAGUGUUUCAUGCCAGGUGAGGGGAAGGGAUGCACCAUUAUCAUCAUCAUCAUUGUGGGGUUCAACCCUCCCCCCACAUGCUGCAGGAACACAAGAAGCUUCAGUCCUCCUCUCACCGAGAGCUUCAUUUCUUCCUUUAUAAAACUGGAGGGCGAAUCAAGCUAGAAAAGUACCAAAGAUUGCUGGCUCCCUUCACACAAUGUAACACUGGAAACUCCCAAAAUAGAGAAAGAGAGGUUGAAGGAUCUAUAAAACUACAAUAAAGAGGUUCCCAUUCUGGCACAGCAGAAAUAAAUCCAACUCGUAUUAUGACGACGUGGGUCCAAUCCCUGGCUUCACUCAGUGAGUCAGGGAUCUGGCACUGCCAUGAGCUGAGAUGUAGGUCACAGAUGCUGUUUGGAUCCUGAAGCAAGAGAAGGAGGUUGUGUGCCCUGAAAGUGGGGUGCAGUGAGGAAGAAAGACAGAGGAGAAGAUGUGCGGGGCAGACCACUGCAAGCCAAGAGUAUCAGAAUAGCACAUAGGCCAGCUGAGGUGGGAGCAGCUAAAACACAUGCACCCCAACUAGACCCUGCUUCUUCCCACAUCUUUGUACCCCAAAGCCGGUAUUUUCAAUGGAAGGAGAAAAAAAUCUUAAAGAGAAUCAACGCCAGGGAAGAAGUAGGGUUUGCAAGUGUAAAGUUUCUCUGCUUCGAGAAGCAAUGCUCCUUUCCCUUCCUCUAAACUCACCAAGAGAAGCUCCAGCCAAGAUCUGCCAGUUAGCCUUCAGUGCUAACAGAACCAGAGACCUAUCAGUUCACAGGGGAGAAUAACACAAUAGUUGAGGAAUAAAAUGACUAGUAAUAACAGCAAAGUCUUACCCAACACUAUGUGCGUGAGACGUGGUACUAUGUCUGCAAGUAUCAGUCUAUUCAAUCCUCACCACUGCUCCAUUACCCCAAUUUUUAAGUAUGACAAAGAGGAAGCAGAGAAAGGUUAAGUUCUCUGCCCAAGAUUACACAGCUGGGCACUGGCAGGGCUGGACUUCAAACGCAGGCAGUCUGGCUCCCAUUAAAAAAGAAAACUCGGAGUUCCCGUCAUGGCGCAGUGGUUAACGAAUCCGACUAGGAACCAUGAGGUUGCGGGUUCGAUCCUUGGCCUCGCUCAGUGGGUUAAGGAUCCAGCGUUGCCGUGAGCUGUGGUGUAGGCUGCAGACGUGGCUCGGAUCCUGCGUUGCUGUGGCUCUGGUGUAGGCCAGUGACUACAGCUCCAAUUUGACCCCUAGCCUGGGAACCUCCAAAUGCCGUGAGAGCAGCCCUAGAAAAGGCAAAAAGACCAAAAAAAAAGAAAAAAGAAACUAAAAAAGUCAUGAACACAUCUGCAUUCAAGAAGAUAGCAUCUUACAAGUAUGCUAAUUUGAAUGUUAUGGAUUUAUGUUCCUGCAGUCCUGGAGACAGUAAAAAGGUCCCCAAAUGCGUCAGUACUCCUUGUCAUUUUCUUAAUCCUGCCCAGACUUCUGUAGGUCAUUCGUUCAUUAAAAUACCUUCAACUGAAUCAUCUGAGCUGAAUUCUGUUUUUAACACAGAAUUGACUGAUACAAUCUUAUAAUUCAACCACCUCUGGAAACAAAAGUCUAUGUUUGUAAAGAGAAUAGACAGAAAAAGCGCAGUGUAUGGAUUCCGGAGUUGGAUAGAGCUUGCGUCUCAGCCCCACUGCUUACCAUAUGUGUGACCCUAGGCAAAAAUGUUCAAAAUCUCUGAGCUACGGCUUCCACAAAUAUAAGUGAUUUUUUAAUAACCAAGCAAGAAAGUUGGUGGUGACAGGAAUACUAGAACAGUAGGAGUGGUAAUACGAACCCUGAUGACAAUACUAAUAAUAAAAGAAAUUGUGAUUCAUAAAAUUAGUAUUGGACUGUUUGUAGUGCGAAUGAUCCUUCCUGGUCAGUCAUACUAUGUACGUAAAAGCAAGGGAUGUAUUCUUUCUUCAAUACCAAUUUAUAAUUCUGGUACUUGAUGAGUGUGCAAAACACUCAUACCUGAUGAAUUGCUUUAUCUACCUUUGAGGCAAAAUAUCUAAUAUUACGAAGCAACACUCUCAGCAGAUCUUAUUCUGAAUACAUUCAGAUGAGGUUGCAUAGAGUCAGCUACACUAUGUUUGGAUGUCAGAGAAAAUGCCAAGACCUGGAUAACAGUGGAUCAAAAGAGAAGAGAGAAAUAUGACACCAGAGUGAGAAAAUAAAUAAAAGAUUCUUUGUAUAGAAGAAAGGAGAUGUGUUCAUCAAACAAGCAGUUUGGUGGCAUUUUGAGGAUUAAAAAAAGAGAGAUGUGCAAACAUGACAGGCGGUAAAAAUUCAACAAGAAACAGGAAAUGAAGAGGAUGAGGCAUAGAAAAUACAGAAAGGCAAAUUCUCAGUAAACGCUGAAAUCAAAGAUCCUCCUGCCCCCAUCAGAAACCCACUCCGCUCUUCCUGCUGGGAGGCAGAGCACUCUGGAAUCCUUCUGUAAGCCUCAGGGGUUUAUGAGUAAGGGAAGUAUUCAAAAACAUUAGUCCCAGUCUCAAGAGUGAAUUUAGCAUAUCUUUGGCCAAACUGACUCAUUUUAUGGAUCAAGACAUUCCCAAAUGGAGUUCCUGUUGUGGCUCAGUGGGUUAAGCACUGACGCAGGGAGUUCGAGUCGUGGCUCAGCAGCAACAAACCUGACGGGGUUCCAUGAGAUGCAGGUUCAAUCCUUGGCUUUGCUCAGUGGGUUAAGGAUCCAGUGUUGCUGUGAGUUGUGGUGUAGGUCGCAGAUGCAGCUGGUAUCUGGUGUUGCUGUGGCUGUGGCUGUGGCUAUGGCCGGCAGCUACAGCUCUGAUUCCACCUGUAGCCUGUGAACUUCCAUAUGCCAAAAGUUUGGCUCUAAAACACACACACACAAAAAGCGACACUGCAUCUGUGAGGAUGCAGGUUUGAUCCCAAGCCUCACUCAGUAAGGUACGAAUCCCACAUUGCCAAAAGCUGCAGCGUAGGUCGCAGAUGUGGCUUGGAUCCAGCGUUGCUGCGGCUGUGGUACAGGCUGGCAGCUGCAGCUCCAAUUCAUCCUCUAGCCCAGGAACUUCAUAUGCCACAGGUCUGGCCCUAAAAAAAAGAAAAAAGACAUUCCCUAAGAUCCUGGUUCCAAGCACGGUUUAGCAUACAAUCGCCUGGACAACCUGUUAAGGGCACAUAUUCCCAUACAGAAAGCUCUGGAAUAAGAGCCAGGAAUCAGUAUUUUCAAUGAGUAGUACAGAUCAUUUUUCUGCAGCUAGACAAGAAGAUAAGUGUAGGACAAAAGCAAUUUGUGGAGCCACUAUUUUGAAGAGCCCUGAAUGCCGUUGCUCUACAAGUCCAACACCAAAUAUGUCUCCUUGUUUGUUGACUUUCCUGGGAUAUUGGCAUGUCCUAUUAAAUUUAUCCACUAAAUGAGUGUUUAUUGCAUAUCUACCAUGGCACGAAUGAAGAAUUAGGCAAUUCCUUUGAGACCUCCUUCAAAGAAUUCAAGAUGUAGAGAAGUUCAGGUGUGGGUGCUAUGAAGCCAAACACAAAGCAGAGUGAAACAAGUGCCAGAAGGAAGGGCAACAGCAGAGAAGAAAGGGUUUAUUGAUUUUGACUGAGCUGAUCAGAGUAUACUCCAUCAAAGAGGUGGCGUUUGAACUGAACCUUAAAAGAGGAGCAGAAUUUAAAUUACAGGUGAAAGAAAGAGACAUGUUCCCUGCUGAAGGGACAGUAGAAGUAAAUUCUUAGGGGGGUAUGAAGGUAGAAGGCCUAUUUGGCUAAUAAGGAGUAAGUUCGAUUUGCUAGAAUUUAUAGAGCACAUCAUCAGGGACUGAAUCAGCAAAGGCCUUGAGCACCUUGCAAUGACAUUGGCCCUUUGUUGGUAGGCUGUGAGGAGACGCGAAAGAUUUUUAAGGAUGAAAACAGACAUGAUUUAAGCCCUGUUAUGGGAAGAGGACCCUACUGCAGCAUAAAGCAAAAAUCAAAGAGGCAAAAGACUAGAGGUGGGGACAUCAACUUACUGCUUAUUAUAAUGGUGCAAAUGAGAAAGAAUGGGGCUGAACCAGGACAAUAGCAGAGGAUGUGGAGAGGAGGGAGUUUUGACAACUCCAUUCUCAGCUUUUCCAUAUACGUUAUGCAUGUCCUUGGCCAAAGGAGUUAACCUCUCUGGGUCUGGGUUUCCUCCCCUGUAAAGGAAGAUUAAUAAUUACCUGCUAGGUCCCCUUCCCAGGAUUAUCAUGGGAUAUGUAAUAAAAUCACCUAAAGUGCUCAACAAGUACAAGGCAUUAUUAACAUUAACAACAAUAACAAAGGGAGUUCUUGUCGUGGCUCAGGGGUUAAUGAAUCUGACUAGGAACCAUGAGGUUGCGGGUUCGAUCCCUGGCCUUCUCAGUGGGUUAAGGAUCCGGCGUUGCCAGGAGCUGUGGUGUAGGUUGCAGACACAGCUCGGAUCCCUCAUUGCUGUGGCUGUGGCAUCGGCCGGUGGCUACAGUUCCAAUUAGACCCCUAGCCUGGGAACCUCCAUAUGCUGUGG
rnacentral:lncRNA from 1 species